CCUACGGGUGACUGCAGUGAGGAAUAUUGGUCAAUGGACGAGAGUCUGAACCAGCCAAGUAGCGUGAAGGAUGACUGCCCUAUGGGUUGUAAACUUCUUUUAUAUGGGAAUAAAAUGUUCCACGUGUGGGAUUUUGUAUGUACCAUAUGAAUAAGGAUCGGCUAACUCCGUGCCAGCAGCCGCGGUAAUACGGAGGAUCCGAGCGUUAUCCGGAUUUAUUGGGUUUAAAGGGAGCGUAGGUGGAUUGUUAAGUCAGUUGUGAAAGUUUGCGGCUCAACCGUAAAAUUGCAGUUGAAACUGGCAGUCUUGAGUACAGUAGAGGUGGGCGGAAUUCGGGGUGUAGCGGUGAAAUGCUUAGAUAUCACGAAGAACUCCGAUUGCGAAGGCAGUUCACUGGACUGCAACUGACACUGAGGCUCGAAAGUGUGGGUAUCAAACAGGAUUAGAUACUCUAGUAGUC
rnacentral:rRNA from 1 species